UCGAGAAUUUUUCACAAUGGGCGCAAGCCUGAUGGAGCGACGCCGCGUGGAGGAUGAAGGUUCUUGUGAUUGUAAACUCCUGUCACUGCAGAACAAGGGUGCGCUAUUUAAAAGAUGACGCAUUUGAUGGUAUGCGGAGAGGAAGGGACGGCUAACUCUGUGCCAGCAGCCGCGGUAAGACAGAGGUCCCGAGCGUUGUUCGGAUUCAUUGGGCGUAAAGGGUGUGUAGGAGGUUGGGUAAGUCAGGUGUGAAAUCUCUCAGCUUAACUGAGAAACUGCGCUUGAUACUGCUCAGCUAGAGGAUCGGAGGGGGUAACGGAAUUCAUGGUGUAGCAGUGAAAUGCGUAGAUAUCAUGAGGAACACCGGUGGCGAAGGCGGUUACCUGGAAGAUUCCUGACUCUGAAACACGAAAGCCAGGGGAGCAAACGGGAUUAGAUACCCGCGUAGUCC
rnacentral:rRNA from 1 species